rnacentral:rRNA from 1 species
GAUGAACGCUAGCUACAGGCUUAACACAUGCAAGUCGUGGGGCAGCAUGAAGGAAGCUUGCUUCCUUUGAUGGCGACCGGCGCACGGGUGAGUAACGCGUAUCCAACCUUCCCCUUACUAGAGGAUAGCCCGGCGAAAGUCGGAUUAAUACUCUAUGUUCUCCUUUUGCAGGCAUCUAACGAGGAGCAAAGAUUCAUCGGUAAGGGGAUGGGGGAUGCGUCUGAUUAGGUUGUUGGCGGGGUAACGGCCCACCAAGCCUUCGAUCAGUAGGGGUUCUGAGAGGAAGGUCCCCCCACAUUGGAACUGAGACACGGUCCAAACUCC